UCUUUUCUGGCCCGCCUGUGUCUGCCCACGGACCAAUUGGUGCUCACUUCCUUCCCUCUGAGGCCCAUAAAAGCCGUGGGCUCAGCCGGAGCAGAGCAGAGCUGAGGACACAGGGAUGACUGGACUACCAGCUGGAGAGAGGAGCUACCCUCUCUGCUAGGGGCCGAACACUCCUCCGGACACCCUGGCUACAGUGCAGGACAAGAACUUAGGACUGCAGGACAAGAACUCGAGACCCACACAAUGAGUCCUAAUCAGUUGGCACACAUUAUCUCAUUUCAUCCUCUCAACAGCCCUAUAGUGUAUGUGCUGUUAUUGUUCAUUCAUACUUUGAUAAUGAACAAACUGCGACUCAGAGAAGUAGAGUAACUUGCCCAAAGUCAACAGCUGGUAAGCGGAGCUGGGACUCAAACCCAGUUUAUUUGAACUUCAAAGCCUUGGUGCUCAGCCUUUUCAUCCUGGUUGAGAACUAGAGUCAAAGCUGUAUCCUUUUUCCAGGCCCUGGCAAUCUAGGGCAUGGAUAGUAAUGACAAAAGACAGCUGGGACAAUAGUCAGCAAUGUAUGGACUGGCCUUUCCUCAGCACUGCCUUCCUCAUUUCUCAGCACCACCAGGCUCGACCCAGCACAGCUCAUCCACCCACCCCAAUGACAGAAUGCAGCCAGAACUGUGGUCAAUAUGGAGUGGCACCUUUGAGAGAGGGCCUCUGAGCAAGUUCCUGUGCCUGUUUCUUUCAACGAGGAUAACUACUUCCACCUGCCUUUGUAAUUUGUUCCUGGGACAAAGAAAGCCUCUUGAGGAGGCUGGCCUGCCCUGCAUAUGUUGGAUAAACGCUUGAAAUAUGGACCUGUCCCCAUCUCUCGCCUUUCCCCGGAAUUCAGGACUGAAUGGAUGCUGCCUGCAUUUUGGGGAGUGGGAGUUUUGCUUUUCCUUUGCUUUGCUACUUACUCACUCUGAUGAACAAGGAGGAGACUGACAGCUUCACAGUCCUGGAUCAUUUCCUGCCCUGUUCUCCCAUCCAGCUCAUGGAAGUCAGCAACUCCAUCCACUCAUUGCACAGAGACCAGAAAGGGGAAGGGAUUUUCUCACUGUCUCACAGCAACUAAUGGCCAAGCUGUGGUGGGCGUCUUGGUGGUCUGAUUCCAAUUCAAGUUGGAGUGAGAGAGUGAGAAGAUUAUGGGCUGUGGCCUCAAGCCAACCAGGGUCUAAACCCAGCAUUGCCUCUGGCUUACUUGUGUCUCCUCUGCUUCCUCAUUCUUAGAAUGGAAAUCAUCAUCAUCAUCUCAUAGAAGUGUUAUGGGCAACAGACAGGAUAAUGUACAUGAAGCUCAUACAGCCUUAGGAUUAAAACCAGUGAAGACCCAAACGACUGUACCUGGGAAUUUAAGAUAAACAGGGUGUGUUACUGCCUGGCACAAACUGGGAAUUUGUGCAAAGGUAAGAUACCAAGCAGGACAGUAUUUCUCCUUGAGGGACCGUGAAAUCUUCUCAUCAUUUAAGCUUAUGAAACGAGGUGGAGCCUCAUUUCUUAAAGGGGGAAAUGCAAAUCAAAACUACCUGGGUAUCAUAUGAAAUUAUACCUUGAUAAAGCUGAUUUUUAAAACAUUACCCUGAGAAUUGUAAAGAUCAACAGUCCUGAUAACAAGCCAGGCAUCGUGGCUCAUGCCUGUAGUUCCAACUACUUGAGAGGCUGAGGUGGGAGGAUUGCUGGAGC
rnacentral:lncRNA from 1 species